rnacentral:rRNA from 1 species
AUGUCUACCAUCUACAUGAGCCAGCUAUCUACUCUCCCUCUAAUGGAUGGAGAUCAAGAUCAAGGGCACUUUCAAGCCUUUCAUCUACCCAAAGAUCCUCCUGUCUUGUUCCCUUUCAUGAUCGACAACCCUGUGGAGCAUCAAGGGCAAGGCUAUGGAGACCAGCACUCGAGGCAGCAAUUUUUUGGUGAAUCUAAUCAGCAGUUCAAUGAUCACAUGAUGAUGAGCGGAGGAUCUGCGGACGUCUUCGCCACAUGCUCCCCGUUCGGACCUACCAUCCAAAGCAUCGGCAGUGACAUGAUCCAGAGAUCCUCAUACAAUUCCUAUGAUUUCGAAGCCACACAUGCCGGCGAUGGAUCGACCAGCCAGUGGGCAUCCGCCAAAUCGCCGGUGAAGAUGAGGAUCAUGAGAAAGGCGCCAACGAAUGAUCACCAAGGAGGGACGGCGAGAAAGCCAAGGAGAAGGGCACAAGCACACCAAGGUGAUGAGAGCCAGCAGCUGCAGCAUCCCAUGGGUGUUAUCAGAGUGUGCUCAGACUGCAACACCACCAAGACUCCCUUGUGGAGGAGUGGUCCUUGUGGCCCCAAGUCUCUUUGCAACGCAUGCGGCAUACGCCAAAGGAAGGCUCGCCGCGCCAUGGCUGCAGCGGCGGCCACUGCCGCCACCAACGGUGGGGUGGCGUCUGCUUCCAGUGGCGGUGUGGCGGUGGGGGCCGCGCAGGCAAGCGACGCAUCACAAGCAGUGAAGGCAACAAAGAAGGAGAAGAGGGCUGCGGAUCUCGACCGGUCCCUGCCGUUCAAGAAGAGGUGCAAGAUGGUUGAUCAUCCUACCGUUACCACCACCAAGGCCGUGGCUGUCGACGCCACUCCGAAGGAUCAAGAUCACGUUGUGGCCGAGGACGGCGCCAUGGUGGAGAGACUGAGCAAAGCCGAUCCGCCGGCAGCGUUCACUCACGGCUUCAUGCGCGACGAGAUCACCGAUGCCGCCAUGCUGCUCAUGACCCUAUCCUGCGGUCUUGUUCGCAGCUAG